AACCCAUGCAUAGGACACUUUCAUAGCCAUUCCUUGAAUCUUCCAAUGCUUCAUACAAGUUUUCAUCCUCCAUUUGCUUGAAUAAAGUUAAAUUAUUUUGGAGUUU